UACGUAGGGGGCAAGCGUUGUCCGGAUUUAUUGGGCGUAAAGAGCGUGUAGGCGGCCUGACAGGUCUGCUGUGAAAACUCGAGGCUCAACCUCGAGAUGUCGGCGGAAACCGUCUGGCUAGAGUCCGGAAGAGGAGAGUGGAAUUCCUGGUGUAGCGGUGAAAUGCGCAGAUAUCGGGAAGAACACCCGUGGCGAAGGCGGUUCUCUGGGACGGUACUGACGCUGAGACGCGAAAGCGUGGGGAGCGAACAGG
rnacentral:rRNA from 1 species